GACGAACGCUGGCGGCGUGCUUAACACAUGCAAGUCGAACGCUGAAGCUUGGUGCUUGCACUGGGUGGAUGAGUGGCGAACGGGUGAGUAAUACGUGAGUAACCUGCCCUUGACUCUGGGAUAAGCCUGGGAAACUGGGUCUAAUACUGGAUACGACAUGUCACCGCAUGGUGGUGUGUGGAAAGGGUUUUACUGGUUUUGGAUGGGCUCACGGCCUAUCUGCUUGUUGGUGGGGUAAUGGCUCACCAAGGCGACGACGGGUAGCCGGCCUGAGAGGGUGACCGGCCACACUGGGACUGAGACACGGACCAGACUCCUACGGGAGGCAGCAGUGGGGAAUAUUGCACAAUGGGCGGAAGCCUGAUGCAGCGACGCCGCGUGAGGGAUGACGGGCUUCGGGUUGUAAACCUCGUUCAGAACGGAAGAAGCGAAAGGGACGGUACGUGCAGAAGAAGCGCCGGCUAACUACGGG
rnacentral:rRNA from 1 species